rnacentral:lncRNA from 1 species
GCCACUGGAAGUAGAACUCGAAUUUAUCUUUAUUCCAUGAAAUGGCUUUUUGAAUCCCUUUCAAUAUGCAGGGUUACUUUUUCAACCUAGAUACUGCAGAGAGGGCCUUGGUUCUGCAAAAAAAAAUGUGAAAGUCUUUGAUGAUGCCCCACUGGAGGCCUCACCUUCUCUGAAGACUGGUGCUCCUGUGCCAACGAUACUGUCUCCUUAGUUUUGUGCUCAACAACCCAGAUCAGGGUACAAAUGGAAACUGCAAUAUUUCUUGUGAAUGGAUUGCUGGCAGUGUCCUCCAAUCCUUCAUAUGCUCACUAUGAUUGGGAUCUGCGAACUCUAUCUAGAGUGGAUUCCAGUGGCAUGGACAACAAUACAGAACUUUGAGUGAACUACAAAUGCCAAAAGAACUCCUGGUGGAGCAAAAGGUUUGCACCUCACCCUCCAAGGAGAGGCAUCAUCACAAACACCUCUCUCACUUUUGGUACCUGAUAGGACCUCUCCUACACUGUUGUAGUAAACCUGUGUCUGUAUUGAAGAUGAAGGUAA